UGCGUAGGGUGCAAGCGUUGUCCGGAAUUAUUGGGCGUAAAGAGCUCGUAGGCGGUUCGUCGCGUCGGCUGUGAAAACCUGAGGCUCAACCUCAGGCCUGCAGUCGAUACGGGCGGACUUGAGUACUGCAGGGGAGACUGGAAUUCCUGGUGUAGCGGUGAAAUGCGCAGAUAUCAGGAGGAACACCGGUGGCGAAGGCGGGUCUCUGGGCAGUAACUGACGCUGAGGAGCGAAAGCGUGGGGAGCGAACAGG
rnacentral:rRNA from 1 species